rnacentral:rRNA from 1 species
UACGUAGGGUGCAAGCGUUAAUCGGAAUUACUGGGCGUAAAGCGUGCGCAGGCGGUCGUACAAGACAGAUGUGAAAUCCCCGGGCUUAACCUGGGAACUGCAUUUGUGACUGUACGGCUGGAGUGCGGCAGAGGGGGAUGGAAUUCCGCGUGUAGCAGUGAAAUGCGUAGAUAUGCGGAGGAACACCGAUGGCGAAGGCAAUCCCCUGGGCCUGCACUGACGCUCAUGCACGAAAGCGUGGGGAGCAAACAGG